rnacentral:rRNA from 1 species
CCUACGGGAGGCAGCAGUGGGGAAUAUUGGACAAUGGGGGGAACCCUGAUCCAGCCAUGCCGCGUGUGUGAAGAAGGCCCUCGGGUUGUAAAGCACUUUCAGUGAGGAAGAACGCCUGGUGGUUAAUACCCAUCAGGAAAGACAUCACUCACAGAAGAAGCACCGGCUAACUCCGUGCCAGCAGCCGCGGUAAUACGGAGGGUGCGAGCGUUAAUCGGAAUUACUGGGCGUAAAGGGCGCGUAGGUGGCUUGAUAAGCCGGUUGUGAAAGCCCCGGGCUCAACCUGGGAACGGCAUCCGGAACUGUCAAGCUAGAGUGCAGGAGAGGAAGGUAGAAUUCCCGGUGUAGCGGUGAAAUGCGUAGAGAUCGGGAGGAAUACCAGUGGCGAAGGCGGCCUUCUGGACUGACACUGACACUGAGGUGCGAAAGCGUGGGUAGCAAACAGGAUUAGAUACCCUUGUAGUC